rnacentral:rRNA from 1 species
CUAGGCACGUUUGUUGGUCGUCACUUCUUAGAGGGACUAUUGACUAUUAGUCAAUGGAAGUUUGAGGCAAUAACAGGUCUGUGAUGCCCUUAGAUGUUCUGGGCCGCACGCGCGCUACACUGAUCAAGUCAACGAGUUUACAACCUUGGCCGGAAGGUCUGGGUAAUCUUUUGAAACUUGAUCGUGCUGGGGAUAGUCCAUUGCAAUUAUUGGACUUCAACGAGGAAUUCCUAGUAAGCGUGAGUCAUCAGCUCGCGUUGAUUACGUCCCUGCCCUUUGUACACACCGCCCGUCGCUACUACCGUUGGGAAUGGCUUAAA